UUUUUGAAAAUAAUUUAAAGUCUAAUCUGCCCACUGAUAAAUAUAUUAAAGGGCUGCAGUAUUUUGACUGUACAAAGGUAGCAUAAUCAUUAGUCUCUUAAUUGGUGACUUGUAUGAAAGAUUGGAUGAGAUAUAAACUGUCUCUAAUUAAUUUAUAAAAUUUAAUUUUUUAGUAAAAAAGCUAAAAUAAUUUUAAAAGACGAGAAGACCCUAUAGAGUUUUAUAAUUUAUUUAAUUAUUAUUAAUAUAUAAAUUUUAAAAUUAAAAUUAGGUAAAUUAUUUUGUUGGGGUGACAGAAAAAUUAAAUUAACUUUUUUAUAUAAUUAACAUUAAUUUAUGAAUAAAUGAUCCAUUAAUAUUGAUUAAAAGAAAAAAUUACCUUAGGGAUAACAGCGUAAUUUUUUUUUUUAGUUCAAAUAGGAAAAAAAGUUUGCGACCUCGAUGUUGGAUUAAGAUAAAAUUUAAAUGCAAAAGUUUAAAAUUUUGAUCUGUUCGAUCAUUAAAAUCUUACA
rnacentral:rRNA from 1 species